rnacentral:rRNA from 1 species
GAUGAACGCUGGCGGCGUGCUUAACACAUGCAAGUCGAACGGAAAGGCCCAAGCUUGCUUGGGUACUCGAGUGGCGAACGGGUGAGUAACACGUGGGUGAUCUGCCCUGCACUUCGGGAUAAGCCUGGGAAACUGGGUCUAAUACCGGAUAGGACCACAUUUUGGAUGGUGUGGUGGAAAGUUUUUCGGUGUGGGAUGAGCUCGCGGCCUAUCAGCUUGUUGGUGGGGUAAUGGCCCACCAAGGCGUCGACGGGUAGCCGGCCUGAGAGGGUGUACGGCCACAUUGGGACUGAGAUACGGCCCAGACUCCUACGGGAGGCAGCAGUGGGGAAUAUUGCACAAUGGGCGCAAGCCUGAUGCAGCGACGCCGCGUGGGGGAUGACGGCCUUCGGGUUGUAAACUCCUUUCGCUAGGGACGAAGCGUUAUGUGACGGUACCUGGAGAAGAAGCACCGGCUAACUACGUG